CAGUCGCCGCGGUAAUAUGUAGGGUGCGAGCGUUAAUCGGAAUUACUGGGCGUAAAGCGUGCGCAGGCGGUUGUGUAAGACAGGUGUGAAAUCCCCGGGCUUAACCUGGGAACUGCGCUUGUGACUGCACAGCUAGAGUAUGGCAGAGGGGGGUGGAAUUCCACGUGUAGCAGUGAAGUGCGUAGAGAUGUGGAGGAACACCGAUGGCGAAGGCAGCCCCCUGGGCCAAUACUGACGCUCAUGCACGAAAGCGUGGGGAGCAAACAGGAUUAGAUACCCGGGUAGUCCCUGUCUCUUAUAC
rnacentral:rRNA from 1 species